rnacentral:tRNA from 1 species
GGGCGGGUAGCUCAGUUGGUUAGAGCGCCAUCAUGAUAAGAUGGAGGUCGGUGGUUCGAGUCCAGGUCCCGCCCA